ensembl:lncRNA
UAUAGAGGAACUACUGAAACUGUACUGAUCUGUGAAGAGGCUUUACCAGUGCAAUUAAUGUAUUUAUCACAUCCAAAUUCCCUGUGCAUUAGUUUUACUGGCAUUGUGCAGAUGACAGAUUUAUUUAUUUAUUUAUUUAUUUAUUUAUUUAUUUAUUGUGCACUGGAGCAUAUUUCAGCUCAAAUAACAGUGUAUGCAGGUGGCUGGAGUAGAACAGUAUUUCCACUUAAGACGAACCAGAACCAAACAAAUGUGUGGCUUCAUGAAAUACCUGUGCAAUUCCUACAACAUCCCUGUGCUACCUGGACCAGAACGUCAUCCUGUCUGUCAUUAGGAGUGUACUGGCUGACUUAGGUUGAAAUAGCAAUGCUGGCAAGUACAUGAUUGAUACAUAAAUAGAAGAAAAAUAGAAUGCACAGAGGACAAGAGAGAGAGAGAGAGAAUUCUGGUAUCACACAUUUACUCUUUCUAUGAAUCUGAAGCUGUUGGAAAACCCACUGGAAAAUCUAUCAUUAUAGAAGACGAAUGGAACUUGGACCAAUGUCAAAGCCUUUGAAAAGAUACUUUUUAGUCAGGAAUAAUUCAAUUAUUACUGAAUUAUAUAAAUUCAAUAAUAAAUAUAAUUAUACUAUAUACAGUAUGUAUAAUAUAUAAUUAUAAUAUAAUAUAAUUAUAAUCAAUAUAAAUAAUAAUAAUAAAUAAUAAUAAUUUAAAAAAAGAUUAACUGGUGGUAGUCAGACAAAAAGACCAAAUAAGUGAUUAAACAAAAUUCUCAUACCACAACAUUUUCUGGAGCACUUCAUGAUGUUCGAAUGCUAUAUCAAAGUGUAAACAAAGUGUGAACAUAUCACAUCAGUUCAACCAAGGUAUGAUUUGGAUGAGUGUGGUGGAAUACAUUGAAAUGUUGAUCAUGUAGCACGUUAGUGAGCUGUGUAUUGACAGGGAGCUUCCAUAGUCAAG